rnacentral:rRNA from 1 species
GACGAACGCUGGCGGCGUGCUUAACACAUGCAAGUCGAACGGAAAGGCCCUGCUUUUGUGGGGUGCUCGAGUGGCGAACGGGUGAGUAACACGUGAGUAACCUGCCCUUGACUUUGGGAUAACUUCAGGAAACUGGGGCUAAUACCGGAUAGGAGCUCCUGCUGCAUGGUGGGGGUUGGAAAGUUUCGGCGGUUGGGGAUGGACUCGCGGCUUAUCAGCUUGUUGGUGGGGUAGUGGCUUACCAAGGCUUUGACGGGUAGCCGGCCUGAGAGGGUGACCGGCCACAUUGGGACUGAGAUACGGCCCAGACUCCUACGGGAGGCAGCAGUGGGGAAUAUUGCACAAUGGGCGGAAGCCUGAUGCAGCAACGCCGCGUGCGGGAUGACGGCCUUCGGGUUGUAAACCGCUUUCGCCUGUGACGAAGCGUGAGUGACGGUAAUGGGUAAAGAAGCACCGGCUAACUACGUGCCAGCAGCCGCGGUGAUACGUAGGGUGCGAGCGUUGUCCGGAUUUAUUGGGCGUAAAGGGCUCGUAGGUGGUUGAUCGCGUCGGAAGUGUAAUCUUGGGGCUUAACCCUGAGCGUGCUUUCGAUACGGGUUGACUUGAGGAAGGUAGGGGAGAAUGGAAUUCCUGGUGGAGCGGUGGAAUGCGCAUAUAUCAAGAGGAACACCAGUGGCGAAGGCGGUUCUCUGGGCCUUUCCUGACUCUGAGGAGCGAAAGCGUGGGGAGCGAACAGGCUUAAAUACCCUGGUAGUCCCCGCUGUAAACGGUGGGUACUAGGUGUGGGGUCCAUUCCACGGGUUCCGUGCCGUAGCUAACGCUUUAAGUACCCCGCCUGGGGAGUACGGCCGCAAGGCUAAAACUCAAAGGAAUUGACGGGGCCCCGCACAAGCGGCGGAGCAUGCGGAUUAAUUCGAUGCAACGCGUAGAACCUUACCUGGGUUUGACAUGGAUCGGGAGUGCUCAGAGAUGGGUGUGCCUCUUUUGGGGUCGGUUCACAGGUGGUGCAUGGCUGUCGUCAGCUCGUGUCGUGAGAUGUUGGGUUAAGUCCCGCAACGAGCGCAACCCUUGUUCACUGUUGCCAGCACGUUAUGGUGGGGACUCAGUGGAGACCGCCGGGGUCAACUCGGAGGAAGGUGGGGAUGACGUCAAGUCAUCAUGCCCCUUAUGUCCAGGGCUUCACGCAUGCUACAAUGGCUGGUACAGAGAGUGGCGAGCCUGUGAGGGUGAGCGAAUCUCGGAAAGCCGGUCUCAGUUCGGAUUGGGGUCUGCAACUCGACCUCAUGAAGUCGGAGUCGCUAGUAAUCGCAGAUCAGCAACGCUGCGGUGAAUACGUUCCCGGGGCU